GAUGAACGCUAGCUACAGGCUUAACACAUGCAAGUCGAGGGGAAACGAUAUUGGAAGCUUGCUUCCGAUAGGCGUCGACCGGCGCACGGGUGAGUAACGCGUAUCCAACCUGCCCAUCACUUGGGGAUAACCUUGCGAAAGUAAGACUAAUACCCAAUGAUAUCCCACGAAGGCAUCCGAAUGGGAUUAAAGAUUUAUCGGUGAUGGAUGGGGAUGCGUCUGAUUAGCUUGUUGGCGGGGUAACGGCCCACCAAGGCGACGAUCAGUAGGGGUUCUGAGAGGAAGGUCCCCCACAUUGGAACUGAGACACGGUCCAAACUCCUACGGGAGGCAGCAGUGAGGAAUAUUGGUCAAUGGGCGAGAGCCUGAACCAGCCAAGUAGCGUGCAGGAAGACGGCCCCUAUGGGUUGUAAACUGCUUUUAUAAGGGAAUAAAGUUAGUCUCGUGAGACUUUUUGCAUGUACCUUAUGAAUAAGGACUGGCUAAUUCCGU
rnacentral:rRNA from 1 species